CCUACGGGGGGCAGCAGUAGGGAAUCUUCCACAAUGGGCGAAAGCCUGAUGGAGCAACGCCGCGUGGGUGAAGAAGGUCUUCGGAUCGUAAAACUCUGUUGUUAGAGAAGAAAGUGCGUGAGAGUAACUGUUCACGUUUCGACGGUAUCUAACCAGACAGCCACGGCUAACUACGUACCAGCAGCCGCGGUAAUACGUAGGGGGCAAGCGUUAUCCGGAGUUAUUGGGCGUAAAGGGAACGCAGGCGGUCUUUUAAGUCUGAUGUGAAAGCCUUCGGCUUAACGGGAGUAGUGCAUUUGAAACUGGGAGUCUUGAGUGAAGUAGAGGAGGGUGGAACUCCAUGUGUAGCGGUGAAAUGCGUAGAUAUAUGGAAGAACACCAGUGGCGAAGGCGGCUCUCUGGUCUGUAACUGACGCUGAGGUUCGAAAGCGUGGGUAGCAAACAGGAUUAGAUACCCGAGUAGUC
rnacentral:rRNA from 1 species